AAACGUUAAAAACAUAAAUUAUAUAAUUAAAUAUUAAUCAAAUAUUUUUUUUAUUUAUAUAUAUAUAAAAAUAUGUUUGCCUCUCUCCUAAACUAUCCACGUGGAAAGUCACUCUCUGACAGACUGACACGUGUCUCUGGAUUUUAUUACUUUCGCUAGACUUGAGUUUAACUUUAGGCUUAUACUAUAAAGUACAAUUGAAAGGAACUUUUUACUCUUAAAUAUUA
rnacentral:lncRNA from 1 species